rnacentral:rRNA from 1 species
GAUGAACGCUAGCGGCAGGCCUAAUACAUGCAAGUCGGACGGGAUUCAGGAGCUUGCUUCUGAUGAGAGUGGCGCACGGGUGCGUAACACGUAUGUAGCCUACCUUUAUCAGGGGGAUAGCCUCUCGAAAGAGAGAUUAAGCCCGCAUAAAAUCACAGCACAGCAUUGUGUAAUGAUCAAAUAUUUAUAGGAUAAAGAUGGGCAUGCGGAACAUUAGCUAGAUGGCGGGGUAACGGCCCACCAUGGCGACGAUGUUUAGGGGAUCUGAGAGGAUGGCCCCCCACACUGGUACUGAGACACGGACCAGACUCCUACGGGAGGCAGCAGUAAGGAAUAUUGGUCAAUGGGCGGAAGCCUGAACCAGCCAUGCCGCGUGCAGGAAGACGGCCCUACGGGUUGUAAACUGCUUUUAUACGGGAAUAAACCCAGAUACGUGUAUCUGGCUGAAUGUACUGGAAGAAUAAGGAUCGGCUAACUCCGUG